ensembl:lncRNA
CGCCCCGCUCCGACCCCCGCCGCCCGCUGGGCCCAGCCCGCGGCGAGUGUCCCCGUGCGUUUUCCAGCCCGAAGCGAGUUGGCAGAAGGUCCUUCUGAGCCGAGAACGUGGCGAACGCGCAAGGGAAAUGGGCGAGGGGAAUGGCCGGUCCCCACCGAUCGUUGCCGACCGCAAGCACCAGACUCGCAUCUGACAACUGGCUGUGUUUGCGGUGUAGGGAAGGCCCCACUGAGGCCUCGCUGGCAUGAGGGUCGAAGGAAGACAGCUGAGCUCCUGACUUUCUUGGGGCCGGCAUUAAUUACUCCGUGCAACUUGCCACCGAGUAUCUCAUUUGGGGUGUCCCAUGGGGAGCUGCGCAAAUAAGGUGCCUUGUAGUCAACUGCCAACUUGAUGGACUGGAUGCCUCGCUGUGCCAAGUCAGACAUGAAGAGUCACUCCUUCAAGAGCAGAUUCUGCAAGGUGGCGUUUCUGGUCUUAAAAGGUAGAAGGGUGGGACAAAACCAGUCAGACCAAGCUCAGGACAAGAGCCGUACCACACAGAGGCUUUCAUUCUGGUGUUUCUUACCCUGCUCUGCACCAGGAAGCCUUACUCUACUGUGGAACAGUACAAGUCAAAGCAGAGUUCAUCGCAUUUGUGUGGUCAACCCACACACUGACUCAACCAAGUCUUGAUCAAGUUACCUCUUGUUUUUGCGGGUUUGUUGUCGUUGUUGUUGUUUGUUUUAUUUUUUUGUUUUGCCAAAGGAUUUGCAAAGCAUUUCUGGAAAAUGAAGACGCUCCUCAGUAUUCCACUUUGAUAAACAAGUUUUGAACCGUUGUUCAGCAGGUGUCCAUUUAGAAAACGUUGACCUGUUUGUGAGACUUGCAUAAGUUAUACAGAAAGAGAUGGAAGCUCUUAUAGUGAACGUGGUUUACCUGUUCAUUCUUAGUGGCACAUUGUUUGCUUCCUCCAGGUCAAUGUUCUUCUUCUAGAUGACUGAAAAUCUUAUCUGAUGCUGGACUGCCAGACAGACACUAUUUGCAUAAAUAAAAUACCUGUCACCUUUCAUACUUUCAUACUUCCGUAAUUUCCAACUAGUCUAUGGGAAGUUCACAGCAGAUCUAUGUUUAAACAGCUUCUGGAGAUCUUCAAGAGUUGGGCUUAGACUAAGUGUCACCUUGACCUAAGCAUUUAUUCACAGUUUCUGGGAUGUGUUCUGAAUCCUUUCUGGGCUGUACUCAGCAUACCAUCAUUGCUGUACUCAUCUUCUGAAGGACAGCUCUUUAAGUUUCGACUUUCAAUUCCGUAUUUUCCCAUGACCAGAAGAGUAAUUUAACAUGGUGAUCUCAGAAUAUCAAGUAUAGUGUGAUGUCUCAGCAACAGCUGCUGAGAGAGAGGCACAGAUCAUUCUUUCCUCCAGCUCAUAGAGAAGCAACACACUGUCUGAAGAAGAUAAUGUAGAAACAACCAGGAAUGGGAUCAUCUUCUUAAGUCUAAUCACCUGCUUCUUUGCUUCUCCUCAAUACUGGGAAUAUAGAUCUAUGAUGGCUGCUCUGAAAGAAAUUUUAUUAUGUUCGCCCAUCGGAUCAGAGGCGGACGUUGGCGGUACAGUAGUAGAGAUGGAACCUUCCCACCAAUAUUCCACUACAUGUUGAUGCUGUGGGACAGAAGGCAGCAGAGGGGCAGUCUGGCAAAAUGGUAUCUGAUAUGGAAGCAUGGAUGAAACAAAGAUGUGUGAUUGAAUUCCUCCAUGCGGAAAAAAUUGUACCCACUGACAUUCAUCAACACUUGCUGAAUGUUCCUGGAGACCAAACAGUGGAUGUGAGCACAGUGAGGCAGUGGGUGGUGCCUUUCAGCACUGACGACAAUGACUGUAG